UACGAAGGGGGCUAGCGUUGCUCGGAAUCACUGGGCGUAAAGCGCACGUAGGCGGCUUGUUAAGUCAGGGGUGAAAUCCUGGAGCUCAACUCCAGAACUGCCUUUGAUACUGAAGAUCUUGAGUCCGGGAGAGGUGAGUGGAACUGCGAGUGUAGAGGUGAAAUUCGUAGAUAUUCGCAAGAACACCAGUGGCGAAGGCGGCUCACUGGCCCGGUACUGACGCUGAGGUGCGAAAGCGUGGGGAGCAAACAGG
rnacentral:rRNA from 1 species